AUGCCCUUCUACACAAAGGUGGAAUUAGCAAAGAUAUUUUUCAAAGAUGGAACGUUUCGAUUCAACGGUAUUAAUUUGAGUUAGUUUUCGUUUAAAUCCGCCGCAUCGGUGACAUGUACGUUUUUUUAUCUUUAAUUUCGUCUAACUUUCGAUGUAAAUUUUGCUUGGUAGCAACAUAUGCACGUUUCGAGUUGAUGUACAUUUCGACAUAGAUUUUGUUCGGGUAAAAUAUAAUACGUUUUCAUUCGACUGUGUAAAUUCCAGUUACCGUACGUUUCAUUGUAAAUUUAGUUGGAACAAGUCGGGUACGCCGUCGCAACGCGCGGCGGGUAAAAUGACUAGUUUAUACUUGAAGGAAGCUUACAUCCUACGCAAUCUUCUGAUACACAUGACACGUAAUUCACAUUCAAUUAGUUUAGUUUUGAUUAUUUUCUUUUUUUUUUCUUUUCUUUGAAUCUCACGGCUACACGUGUACCUAACAAAUUGAUUUCAAAAUGUAAAAUUUUUUAUUAUUAUUUUAUUCUUAUAAUUAAUUCAGCUUCACUUAUUUGACAUAUAUAACUUUUAAAAUAUGAUAUUUUAUAAAACAAUGAAUAUGUUAUUAGAACGAGGUUGCAAUUCUAUUUAUUUCUUUAACCAAUAACAUAUAGCCCUUCAAUCAUACUCUUAAAUUCAUACUUUUGUCAAACAAAUGCCUCGACCACUAGAAAGAAAGAGACACCUUUCUUACCACCAAGCUAGAAUCCCUUUGGGUGCAAUUUUCUUUUAGUUGCCUUUUUCAACCUCAAUAAAAAAACAUUGAUUAACGUAUCUCAUCUUCCACAAAACGUAACAAACCAUUCCCAUUGAAAAAUAAAAUCUCACGUGAAAUAUAAGCUCAAUACUUAAUAGAGGAGAGGUAGCUUUAGCUAGAGAUGAGCUUGGUACCAAUCGAUACCUGUACCGAAAAUCCUAAAAAAUGGUACCGGUACCGAAAAUACUCGAUACAGUACUGUUCGGUAACGGUAUCGGUUUAAUAUCGGUACGAACCAGUAUUUGAAGGUAAAAUAUUUAAAUAUCGAUACCAAAAAUGCUAAAUAUCAACCCCGAAAACGUUUCGAUCUGAAAAAUUUAAUACCGGUACCCGAUACCGUGAUUCCUACAUUUAGCAAAAGAAGAUACCCGUGUUGAAAUUCAAAAGCGAGGGCCCAAAAGUCUAGAUCGUACGCGCUUGGAUUCCUUCAACGGUUCCAGACAUCAAUCACUAUUUUACUCCGGUCAAUUCUAGUCUAGACUUUUUUUUGUUCUUGAACCGUUCUUCGAUUUUCAAUUCGCAAAUUCCUUUAUAUUCAUCUUCAUCUGUCUGUAUCUUUUCGCAUCUCUCCAUUUGGUUUAGAAUCUCAGGAGUGUUUCUUUACUUUUGCAAAUUUCGUGCCG
rnacentral:lncRNA from 1 species